UACGAAGGGGGCUAGCGUUGCUCGGAAUCACUGGGCGUAAAGGGUGCGUAGGCGGGCCUUUAAGUCCGGGGUGAAAUCCUGGAGCUCAACUCCAGAACUGCCUUUGAUACUGAGGAUCUUGAGUUCGGGAGAGGUGAGUGGAACUGCGAGUGUAGAGGUGAAAUUCGUAGAUAUUCGGAAGAACACCAGUGGCGAAGGCGACUUACUGGACACAUAUUGACGCUGAGGUGCGAAAGCGUGGGGAGCAAACAGG
rnacentral:rRNA from 1 species